ACGAACGCUGACGGCGUGCUUAACACAUGCAAGUCAAGGGUAGCAAUACACUGGCGCACGGGUGAGUAACGCGUAGGUAAUCUGCCCCUAUCUCUGGUAUAAUAUCGAGAAAUUGGUACUAAUCCCAGAUGAGGCCGAGAGGUCAAAGAGAAAUUGGAUAGGGAUGAGCCUGCGUCUGAUUAGCUUGUUGGUAAGGUAAUGGCUUACCAAGGCUACGAUCAGUAGCUGGCCUGAGAGGGUGGCCAGCCACACUGGAACUGAGACACGGUCCAGACUCCUACGGGAGGCAGCAGUGAGGAAUUUUGCGCAAUGGGCGAAAGCCUGACGCAGCGACGCCGUGUGCGGGAUGAAGGAGCUUUGCUCUGUAAACCGCUGUCGGGAGAGACUAAAAGUCCGCUUAGUGGACUGGGACAGUAUCUCCAAAGGAAGGACCGGCUAACUACGU
rnacentral:rRNA from 1 species